UACGUAGGGCGCAAGCGUUGUCCGGAAUUAUUGGGCGUAAAGAGCUCGUAGGCGGUCUGUCGCGUCGGAUGUGAAAGCCCGGGGCUUAACCCCGGGUCUGCAUUCGAUACGGGCAGACUAGAGUGUGGUAGGGGAGAUCGGAAUUCCUGGUGUAGCGGUGAAAUGCGCGGAUAUCAGGAGGAACACCGGUGGCGAAGGCGGAUCUCUGGGCCAUUACUGACGCUGAGGAGCGAAAGCGUGGGGAGCGAACAGG
rnacentral:rRNA from 1 species